UAGGUCACCUUGGGCUCUCUGCUUACAAGAGUCCCCCAGCUGGGGCUGUCUCCUCUGAACUGUGAGGACCCUGUGAACAGUGAGUCCCCUCCCUAGUCUCAGCCCUUUCUGGGAAAGGAAACUGCAGAGUCACUGGGCGCUGGCAGGGAGCCCUUCCUGCUUGCUGGCGUCACAGCAGCCUGGACCCCACCCCCAGCCGCCAGUCCCCACAGGAAGCUGGGCCUCAGUCUGGGCUCCAGCCAGUGCACCCCACCUCACAGCAGCCUGACCCUGGGCACGCCCUUAACCCCUGGAAGCCCAGCUUUCCUUCCUCCUUCCCACUUCCUAAUUCUGAGUAUUGUUCUGCUGGAGGUGCGUCACUCAGUGGCCCCCAGCCCAGCCCUCCCUCCGCCCCUUCAGGCAUUGCCCAGAGGUCACCUUCUCAGGGAGCUGCCCACCCCACCGGGACUUGAGCUCCUGCAGGAAGGGGUUUUCAUCUGUUUUGCCCUCCAUGGGAUCUUUGCACCUGGCCGUCCCUGGUGUGUUCCUGGCACCAAGUGAGCCUCAGUAAAUGUGUUGACCAGCCUGUUUUGUAAAGGUCACCCUGUCCACAGGGAGGCUCUCAGUAACCAUUUGUGAUAUUCAUGGACUGACUGAAGCAUCAGCCCCACGAACUCGAAGAUGGUCCCAGACCUGGGGGCCUGUCCAGCCAUGAGCUUCCAGGAUCUAGAUCAUGAUUUUUGGAGAACAUGGGUCCAUCACCAAAAGAGGAACCUGGGGGGAACCCCUGCAUCUGGUACUCGUGGAGAUCCAGAGACCCUCCAACAGGGCCCAGAGGAAGGCGGUGGCGGUCAGGAGCCAGAACACCGGCUCAGCGAGGCCAAGUCGGAGCAUGAAAAGCAGCUGAAUUUGGGGCGCCAGACUUGCUGCUCCAAACUGAAGUCCUGGCCAGGGAGUGCCCUGCCACUCACUCCGGAUGAGGACACAAGAAACACCCAAUCAGAACAGAAAAAAGAAAAAGAUGAUAGUGGAAGGAGUCUCUGGGGCGACUUCAAGAGUACCGAGAUGUGCAUCACGGGGGUUAGAGGUGCUGGAAGGAGAAGAGAGAGACUGAGAAACUGAAAAUCUAUUUUAAAAAAUAAUGACAGAAAACUUCCCCAACCUGGUGAAGGAAAUAGACAAAAAUAGACAUACAAGUGCAGGAAGCACAGAGUCCCAGACAGGUUGGACACAAAGAGGACCACACCAAGGCACAUCAUAAUUAAAAUGCCAAAGGUUAAAGAUAAAGAGAAUCUUGAAAGCAGCCUGAGAAAAGCAGAGAGUCACCUACAGAGGAGUGCCCACAAGACUGUCAGUGAUUUCUCCACAGAACCCUGGCAGGCAAGAAGGGACUGGCAAAACACAUUCAAAGUGAUAAAAAGCAAGAACGUACAACCAAGGUUACUGUAUCCAGCAAAACUAUCAUCUAGAAUCAAAGAAUAUAUAAAGAGCUUCCCAGACGAGAAAAGGAAAGCUAAAGGAGUUCAUCAGCACCAAACCAUUAUUACAUGAAAUGUUAAAGGGUCUUCCUUCAGAAGAAGAAAAAAUAAUUUAAAAAAUAUAUGAACAAUAGCCUUGGUUGGUGUGGCUCAGGGGAUUGAGCGCCAACCUGCGAACCAAGGGGUCGCCAGUGCGAUUCCCAGUCAGGGCACAGGCCUGGGUUGCAGGCCAGGUCCCCAGUAGGGGGCUUGCGAGAGGCAACCACACACUGAUGCUUCUGUCCCUCUCUUUCUCCCUCCCUUCCCCUGCCUAAAAAUAAAUAAAUAAAAUCUUUAAAAAAUAUGAACAAUAAAAUGUCAAUAAAUAUAUAUCAACAAUUGAAUCUAAAAAACUAAACAAACAGGCAGAACGGAAACAGACUCACAGAGACCAUUUUGAUGGCUGCUGUAUGGGAAGAGGGUUGGGGACUGGGCACAAAAGGCUAUGGAUGAAAAGGGUCCCCUUACAAAACCUGACAAGCUCAGGGGAGGCCUUGGAGGCGGCCUUAGAAACUCACAAGUGGUCUGAAAUGUAGACUUACUCACUAAAAGCAAUUUAUGGCAGGCAAUCUUGUUCUAGGCCAAAAUCUUCCCUGACAAAAAGUCUCUACCUGAAGCCUGUCUGUCUUUCUGCAUCUGCAUAACAUACCUUUAGAAUGUCAAAGUAAUUUCCUUUUUUUGGACCACUCGAAGGACCAGCACUUCCCACAACCCCCUCAUUGUUAGUAUCAGGUUAAUUGCUGUUAGCCCUCCUGUACCCACCUGUGUAAAAGAAGUGUGUGUCUGUCAUUUUACUUUUCAUCCAAUCCCAGCAGAUCCCCCCUUUGCUUUCUCCCGCCUCCCUCAUCUGUCGCCAGUGGAUUUUGUGUGAUCGCCAUAUAUAAAAUAAGGUGCAAAAUGGCCACAUUCCAGAGCGUCUCCUCAAUCUGUCGAGGUUUUCUUCCCAGCAACUGUCAUCAGUUUGGCUCAAAUAAACUCCCAGAAAUUCUCUGCAGGUUUGAAUGUUUUUCAUGUUGAUAAAGGGAUGGGAUCAAGAAGUACAAACCGGCGGGAACAGAGCAGCGGGGGCUGUAAAGCGCAGCGUAGGGAACACAGUCAGUGACACUCUAACAACUGCAUGGUGUCGGAUGGGCGUGCGAAUUAUC